rnacentral:rRNA from 1 species
UGGGGAAUAUUGCACAAUGGGCGAAAGCCUGAUGCAGCGACGCCGCGUGAGGGAUGACGGCCUUCGGGUUGUAAACCUCUUUCAGCAGGGACGAAGCGCAAGUGACGGUACCUGCAGAAGAAGCACCGGCUAACUACGUGCCAGCAGCCGCGGUAAUACGUAGGGUGCAAGCGUUGUCCGGAAUUACUGGGCGUAAAGAGUUCGUAGGCGGUUUGUCGCGUCGUUUGUGAAAACCAGCAGCUCAACUGCUGGCUUGCAGGCGAUACGGGCAGACUUGAGUACUGCAGGGGAGACUGGAAUUCCUGGUGUAGCGGUGAAAUGCGCAGAUAUCAGGAGGAACACCGGUGGCGAAGGCGGGUCUCUGGGCAGUAACUGACGCUGAGGAACGAAAGCGUGGGUAGCGAACAGGAUUAGAUACCCUGGUAGUCCACGCCGUAAACGGUGGCGCUAGGUGUGGUUCCUUCCACGGAAUCCGUGCCGUAGCUAACGCAUUAAGCGCCCCGCCUGGGGAGUACGGCCGCAAGGCUAAAACUUAAAGGAAUUGACGGGGUCAUAGCUGUUUCCU